UUGGUUAAGUUAGAAAGGGCGCACGGUGGAUGCCUUGGCACUAGGAGCCGAAGAAGGACGGGACUAACACCGAUAUGCUUUGGGGAGCUGUACGUAAGCGUUGAUCCAGAGAUUUCCGAAUGGGGGAACCCACUAUCUUUAGUCGGAUAGUAUCCUUACGUGAAUACAUAGCGUGAGGAAGGCAGACCCAGGGAACUGAAACAUCUAAGUACCUGGAGGAAGAGAAAGAAAAAUCGAUUUCCUGAGUAGCGGCGAGCGAAACGGAAAGAGCCCAAACCAAGAAGCUUGCUUCUUGGGGUUGUAGGACACUCUAUACGGAGUUACAAAAGAAAGUUAUAAAUGAAGCGGUCUGGAAAGGCCCGCCAAAGACGGUAACAGCCCGGUAGUUGAAAUGGCUUUCCCUCCAGAGUGGAUCCUGAGUACGGCGGAACACGUGAAAUUCCGUCGGAAUCCGGGAGGACCAUCUCCCAAGGCUAAAUACUCCCUAGUGACCGAUAGUGAACCAGUACCGUGAGGGAAAGGUGAAAAGCACCCCGGAAGGGGAGUGAAACAGUUCCUGAAACCGUGUGCCUACAAGUAGUUAGAGCCCGUUAAUGGGUGAUAGCGUGCCUUUUGUAGAAUGAACCGGCGAGUUACGAUUUGUUGCAAGGUUAAGCGGAAAAAGCGGAGCCGUAGCGAAAGCGAGUCUGAAUAGGGCGCAUAAGUAACAGGUCGUAGACCCGAAACCAGGUGAUCUACCCAUGUCCAGGAUGAAGGUAAGGUAAUACUUACUGGAGGUCCGAACCCACGCACGUUGAAAAGUGCGGGGAUGAGGUGUGGGUAGCGGAGAAAUUCCAAUCGAACUUGGAGAUAGCUGGUUCUCUCCGAAAUAGCUUUAGGGCUAGCCUCGAGGUAAAGAGUCAUGGAGGUAGAGCACUGUUUGGACUAGGGGCCCUUCUCGGGUUACCGAAUUCAGAUAAACUCCGAAUGCCAUGUACUUAUACUCGGGAGUCAGACUGCGAGUGAUAAGAUCCGUAGUCGAAAGGGAAACAGCCCAGACCACCAGUUAAGGUCCCCAAAUAUAUGUUAAGUGGAAAAGGAUGUGGGGUUGCUUAGACAACCAGGAUGUUGGCUUAGAAGCAGCCACCAUUGAAAGAGUGCGUAAUAGCUCACUGGUCGAGUGACCCCGCGCCGAAAAUGUACCGGGGCUAAACAUAUUACCGAAACUGUGGAUGAACCUCUUUAGAGGUUCGUGGUAGGAGAGCGUUCUAAGGGCGGUGAAGUCAGACCGGAAGGACUGGUGGAGCGCUUAGAAGUGAGAAUGCCGGUAUGAGUAGCGAAAGAAGGGUGAGAAUCCCUUCCACCGAAUAUCUAAGGUUUCCUGAGGAAGGCUCGUCCGCUCAGGGUUAGUCGGGACCUAAGCCGAGGCCGAUAGGCGUAGGCGAUGGACAACAGGUAGAGAUUCCUGUACCAGUGCUAAUUGUUUAACCGAUGGGGUGACACAGAAGGAUAGGGAAUCGCACGAAUGGAAAUGUGCGUCCAAGCAGUGAGUGUGAGAAGUAGGCAAAUCCGCUUCUC
rnacentral:rRNA from 1 species